GGCCGACGAAAACUACAUCUCCCGGCAGGCUCCGGACUCUCGUCUCCAGUUUGCGGGGCAGUAUGGGACUUGUAGGCUUAGGCCCUCGUGAUUGCUGCAGCCUGGGCUGGCCUUCCUUGCUCCGUUACUGCCCUCUCACUUUAAAUCAGCGCGUCCUCAAAGUGCCUGAUUAUAAGAAUCGUCUGCUAGGCUGAUUGAAAGUAUAGAUUCACAGAGGCAGAAAUGGAGGCACAGAAAGUUUGUUACCCUGAUCACGUAGCUAGAGGUGGAAGAGGAGGGUUUGAACAAAGGUUUCCUGAAUCCAAAUCUUGGCAAUGUUUAACCUAAGGUGUUCUACAUUCUGAGAGCUAGCUGGCAUCAAAGCAUGGCAUCUGAAUCAAAGAAAUUUGGAAGAAGAGAACUUUCUCAUCCGAGUGGCUGCCAACACCCCCGCCCCAGCUGAAGUGCUCCCUUGUUCUCGCCUGCUCUGCCCCAGAUCCGUGGGCCACUCUCCGAAUCGUUGGCAAUUUUCUCUGCACUGUCCUGACAACCUCCGGCCAUGAAAAUUAAAAAACUAGUUACCGAAUCUCGCUCCUAACGGCUUUGUCCUUGUCAGCGAUUCGACAGAGAAAUCUGGAAGAGGGAGCCUCCUUAGGCCUGCAGUGGGCUGAAAUGCCACCAGAAUGACAAUGGGCUUUGCCGUGGGAGGAGGGGAGAAUGUGCAGUGUGCCAGGAGUGAAUGAAUGAAUGAAAGGGAGAGAGAGAGAGAGAGAGAGAGAGAGAGAGAGAGAGAGAGAGACAGUGUGAGCGCACAAACUUUGGGCUUCAAAUUAAAAAAUUCCAGUGUCUCAGCAGAGGUCCUGGUGUCUGUACUCCAGGACCUUCUGCCAAAUGCUGAGCAGGGCGCUUUUCCCCAUGCCAUUGCCCUCUGGUCCUCCGCCAGGGUACAGAGCUCUGGGCUGGAGCGGGGGGCAGUCAGAAUUUGGUGAGGAAAUGGCUCCAAAGUGGGGAAAGCCCUGGGAGGCCGGCCCACCUAGUCAGCUUGCUAUCUGCCCAAGCUUCCCCCACCACCUCAAGGGUCUCCCCUGAUUUCAGACAUUAGUACUCACUCCACAUACUGUCACCGCCCCCCUCACCACCCUGCUGAAGGAAUUUUAAGAAAUCCUCAAAAACUGGAGGAAUUUUAAUUACCCUUGAUUAAGAAAAAACUUUCUAGAAGACCACUGUGAUGGGUGACUCACUGCGACAUGGGUGUCCCUGAGCUGCAGGAGGGUGGGGCUCAGCCUCGUGGCUCUGUGUCCCCAGCCCUUGGCUUUGGGACCCACACAGAGCAAAGGCCUGGCAGGUGCUUGUUGGGUGAAGGAGUAGGAACGGCUUCAUUCAGAGAGUUCUUGUUCCUGCCUCAUCCCCCCGGGGCGUGGACUUGCAGACUGACGUGGGGAUUUGCAGGGAAGCAGGAGAGAGAGGUAUCAAAGCACUGGGUCCUCAGGGCCAGGCCGAGCGAGGUCUGUGACUUCAUAGCCAAUAGACCUUGAACAAGUUGCUUAACAUCCUCAAGCGUGUCUCCUUAUCUCUGACAUGGGAAUCACCAUGGUGACCACGCAGAGGGAGGCUGUGAAUUAAACAAAGGCCUGCAGGUCUGCUUGCUGUAUAGUCAGUGCUCAAUAAGAAGAAAAACUUAACCAGGCCUAGACCCAGAGCCCCUCCCGAGAUAGGGAGACUCUUCUCAAGGGCUUCUGCCUCAUCACCCACGGAUCUUGGGAUUAGUCUCAUUACUGGACAGGCCUGGCAUCGAAGGGACCCCGGGAAGCUGGGCUGGUUCUUGCUGUUGAACUGAGCACGUGCAUUCACUCAGUCAGUCUCUCAUUCGUUCAUAAAAGUAUCAGUAUUUAUUGAGCACCUUCUACAUGCUGCCUUGUGCUGGGGUUUGGGCUAAAAGAGUAAGUGAAAGGUGGCCUGAUCUCAGUUCUUGAAGCUAACAAGAAACAAACAAGCAAAGUCAAGAUCAGAAUCAUUUGGGGUCCAGAUCAGUAGGUGGUCAGGGAAAGCUUCUCUUGUGGGGCAGUAUUUGAACCGAGAUCUAAAUAACAAGGAGCGGCCAUGCUCCGGCCGGAGGGAAGAGGGACCUGGGAAGGAAGCAAUAGUUCAAAGGCUUGGAGGUGGGGACAGGACUGGUUAGGGGGCACGUGUGGCCAAGGUUGAUGGAGCGGCGGGGUGGGGGUAGCAGAUGGUUUCUGGGAAGCCCUGGGAGAGCUCAUUUCUCCCAGGAAGGCUGCCCGGAGGACUGGGGCUGGGCCCAGAGUCCAGAACACGUACUGAGGGUGGAGUGCUUUCACCAAUGUCUCCCUGGAGGCCUGCUCUGGCCCCUCUUUGCCCUACACCUGCUGUGACUCUGCAUUAAAGGACAGAUCGUUCAGAAGAGAGGUGUAGUUCCGCCAUUAUUAUGUGUGGACCACUUUCACACAGUGCAUGUCUCCCUGACCGUGGGGGUCGCGCCUGGGUGGAGGGGGUGAAUACGCUCUCCUGUCUGCCACCAGGCUCUCCUGCUGCUCUUAGCGUGUGGAGCACACACUGCUGCUGGCUGCCAGGGGUGCAGGUAGUCCUGCUGGAAUCGGA